ensembl:lncRNA
CUCUCUGCCUGGUGCUGGGCUGCAUGAUCUUCCCCGACGGCUGGGACGCGGAGACCAUCCGGGACAUGUGCGGGGAGAAGACGGGGAAGUACUCCCUGGGCGACUGCUCCGUGCGCUGGGCUUACAUCCUGGCCAUCAUCGGCAUCCUCAACGCCCUCAUCCUUUCCUUCCUGGCCUUCGUCCUCGGCAACCGGCAGAACGACCUGCUGCACGAGGAGCUCAAGACAGAGAGCAAAGAUUUUGUCGGCACCGCGAGGAUAUAAGGCCGAGCGUCCGCAGCAGGACCCUCCUCCCGCAGCCGGCAGCCUGGGCGCUCCCCCCCCGUCCUGCCCUUCAUCUGCUGCCGGCGGCCACGCAGCGUGCCGGGGACACGCCAGCCGCCCGCCGCGCCCACGUCCACGCCAGCACCGCCAUCCCAUGCACCCCGCCAGCCCCGCACCUCCGCCACCCGUGGGCCGCCGCCGCCGGGGAAGGAUGCCCCAAACCUGCUUCGUCCGAGAACGGCGUCAAACUGCGGUUUCAUUUCGAGGAAAAAAAACAAAAACAAAACAUCUCAGAGUUUUUAACAGAUUUCUACAUCCCCAGGACUCCAGACCUGCUGCCUCCCGCCCCAACGCGUGCCCCGUGACGCCCCGCGCCGGCUGCUCUGGGCCCCAGCACCUUCCCCGCUCCCAUUUUGUACAGCUCCGUGAUCCUGUCUCCACGGCCGGGGGGACCCGGUGGCCGGGCCGGGGCCUGCCCGUACUUUUACGUGUAAAUUAAUAUUCUCUAAACAGGGUAAAGUGACUCGAGCCCCCUCGCCCCCAGCCCAGGAGUCCAGCCCCAGGACCUCAUGCUUUCCGGUGCCGCUGGGGCCGCCGGCCGCCGCUCGCUCCCGCCCAAGCGUGGGGACCGCAGGGGCCUCACUGCCGCGACGCCCGACUCGUGCCACCGCUGAAUGUAAGCCCUGCGAGGCUCUCCCCGCCACGGUGCGCAGGCACCCGCGGCCCAGCCCCGUCCCCUGGCUGCACCUCACCGGCACGCGGCCGCGGGGAGCCGAGGGCUCGGUCGCGCAGCACCCAGCAGCCGGCACCGACACCCCGGCACGGGCGGCCGAGGCCCGGCCGCGGCUCUGCUGGCCAGACCAGGGCGGGGGCUUCCCCACGCGCCCGCCGCAGCCCUCGCAACGCAAUAAAGUCCUCAGCACCGGCCGCGGCUUGGUGCCAGGAGCCGGGGGCUGGUGGCAGGGGCACGAGGCCGCACGGGGGGCUCUGGAGGGGCCGGAGGCAGGCGGUGAGGACGGGUACGGGAGAGGGGCCGCGGAGCCGGGGCGAGGGGCGCAGCCGCGCGGUGGGACCGCUGCCGGGACAAGGCGAUGAAGGGCUGUGCGGGAACCGCCACCCGGCGCGCCCGGGGCUGGCGGAGCCGGUAAGUCGUGCCCUGAGACCCUGCGGGGUGGCGGCGAGGGAACGGAGCCGGAGCCGUGCCGAGACCCCGAGCGGGAGCCCAGGGCCCCCCGGGAUGUCGCGGGCGCUGGCGCUCCCCCCGCAAGCAGCCGCUGUCUGCCACCGCCCCGCGGCCCUCGGCGGAUCGGGAGUGCUGUCGCUGGCUGAAUCGGAAAACAAACCAAGAAAAAUCAGUGGAGAAAGGAAUACAGUAGCUGUAAUAUAUCUGUAUUUUAGUACAAAGUUUGAUACAGUGUUUCACAAAACCUUAUUGAAAAAUAUAAUUCAAACCAGAUGAGCUCUGAGCCCUGUGGUGUGGUGGGGAGCGGGACGGGCGCUGGCUGUCGGCCCCAGGUGGGGAGCGGCCAGGUGGGGAGCACGGGACUGAGCAUCCUCCGUGCAGGGGGCAGCGGCCGGUGCAGGUCCCCUGGGACAGGUCUGUCCCCAGUGGGAGUGCGAGGCUGGGGUCCCACGGGUGGGUCUGCCCAGCCUCCAGCUGGGUCGGGGAGUUUGCUGCUACCUGGGGAAGGUGCAGAGAUGGAGCCAGGCUCUGCUCAGGGACGCGUCGCAGCGGACGUUCCUGGAGGUGGCAGGGGAACCGCGUCACUGCGAGGGUGGUCAGACACGGGAAGCGCUGGGCACCUCACGCACCCCAGCUCGAGGAUCAGCUCUAUGCCAGACCCAGCUCAGGCUUCCUAAGGAAAAGGCAAGCAGAGUUAAAACUCAAAUCCCUGCGCAUCAGCACACCAGGAAACCACACGCGCGCCGGUAAAAAACACCACCACCACAUCCCCAAAACAGGUUUCAAAGCAGGCAAAAUGCAGGACACGUCCCCUACCCCUGGCCUCCUCCCCAAAGGAGCCUGAGAGAGAAGAGGAAAAGAGCAGCAGCACAGACGCUGUCUCUCACCGCCAGGAGCUCUGGUGAUUUCCCUUUUCUCAGGAUCUGCUGCUCACGCUGCAGCACCUGACUUCAGCUGAAACGCUGGCAGAAGGGAGAGCGUAAGGCAGAUUCGGAAGCAGGAGGUGCCAGAUCCAUGCGUCUGCCCCUGCAGUGCUUCGUUUACCCUGCACGGGCAGGGAAGAGACCAACGCGCCCACCCCACCCCACGACCCAGGCAACAGCGUUCAAGGCCGUAAGAAAGCCGGGGAUUUCCAAAAUACUGGUUUUCAAGUUAAGUAUUUUUAUUAUCAAAAUUAUUACAUCUCUUGUGAAAGUUCAAAUGUUACAGCAUGGUGUAAAAACUCCACUAGAGUAAGAAGCUACAGCCCCCACCUUUCCAAGAGCUUUCCAGGGUCCCUCCCUCCUGCCCCCCGCUGCGUCCGGAGGUGCUGGCGCCUCUGCGCAGGGCCCCCCCGGCCCCCUCCUGCCACCCGGCAGGGCAGAGCCCGCCUGCCCCAUGCUGCUCAUAGCAUGAAAGGGGAGGCUGCACACCCAGGGCUAAGCUGAGCGAAGUUUACACCUAUUUUAUACAGUAUACAGACACCCAACCGUGGGGUGACAAGUUCCAUCCCAACACGCUCACAGCCAGACAGUGUGAGAAAGUUAACUCUUUGAUUCAAUAUUUUAAAAGUCUCCCCUAGGUUGAACAAACACCUGAUUUCAAUUGUGAAUUAGAGAAACCUGUAACAGUCCUAAAAAAAAGGAAGAAGACUGUGCAUCUGAAAAGACAGGGGAGACAGACUCACAGCAUUAUGUUAUCCAAGAGAAAGGAGAAGUUCCACUGCAGCACCAGGGAUGACACCUGUCGUAUAUUAGCUAACCUACUAUGGUUAUAACUGAAUAUAAAAUUAGAUAAAUAAAAACACGCCCGAUAUUACA